GAAGGGUAAGCGCAGCAAACAAAGCCGUUCCUGCGAGUAGCAAGAAGAGCAAGAAGAUGUUCACGACCACCAGGCCAGUUCCGCUCGGGGUCGAGAGAUUGUUUGCUCGCACACCNNNCCGGAAAUUGUCAGCCCGCUUAGACAACAGGCCAGCCAAAGAAUGGAGAACCAUCCCAGCGACACGAGAUCCGGCUCCACUGUACGGGCAAUCGAAAGCGCAGCUUCCAUCGACGUUGCUCCCAACUUGCAAUUUACUCAAAGCACGACAGGCAAGCUCACUGGCUCUCCGCCAAGCGCUGCAAUUUUAGCGUCGGUGUUUUUGCUGUUUUUCGCAGGCCCGACUUUACGUGCUUC
rnacentral:misc_RNA from 1 species